GAUUUUGAUACCCCUGCUUGCGAUACAAUGAGCGCGCGAACGCGCCCGUGACUUCCGUUUCCGGCGGCGCGCCCGCAGCAUCCGCGACCAUCAGACCAGGACACAUGUCAAUAUUAUGAAAAUCCUUAAAUCAUUGGAGGCAACGUCGUCGACGCGUGCCCGGAAGCGUCACGGCCGCGUGAAGACCGGAAAUGGGCAGGAUGACCGGAUCCUAUCUCCGUUGCCUACCUGCCGCCAUGUUGUGACGUCACCCCGCCUCUCCACACUAUCUGAUUGUGUAUUGUAGAUUUCCAAA